rnacentral:rRNA from 1 species
GAUGAACGCCGGCGGCGUGCCUAAUACAUGCAAGUCGAGCGAACGGACGAGAAGCUUGCUUCUCUGAUGUUAGCGGCGGACGGGUGAGUAACACGUGGAUAACCUACCUAUAAGACUGGGAUAACUUCGGGAAACCGUAGCUAAUACCGGAUAAUAUUUUGAACCGCAUGGUUCAAUAGUGAAAGACGGUCUUGCUGUCACUUAUAGAUGGAUCCGCGCUGCAUUAGCUAGUUGGUAAGGUAACGGCUUACCAAGGCAACGAUGCAUAGCCGACCUGAGAGGGUGAUCGGCCACACUGGAACUGAGACACGGUCCAGACUCCUACGGGAGGCAGCAGUAGGGAAUCUUCCGCAAUGGGCGAAAGCCUGACGGAGCAACGCCGCGUGAGUGAUGAAGGUCUUCGGAUCGUAAAACUCUGUUAUUAGGGAAGAACAUAUGUGUAAGUAACUGUGCACAUCUUGACGGUACCUAAUCAGAAAGCCACGGCUAACUACGUG